rnacentral:rRNA from 1 species
AACGAACGCUGGCGGCAUGCCUAACACAUGCAAGUCGAACGAGACCUUCGGGUCUAGUGGCGCACGGGUGCGUAACGCGUGGGAACCUGCCCUUAGGUUCGGAAUAACUCCCCGAAGGGGGUGCUAAUACCGGUUAAUGUCUUCGGACCAAAGAUUUAUCGCCUUUGGAUGGGCCCGCGUUGGAUUCGCUGGUUGGUAGGGUAAAAGCCUACCAAGGCGACGAUCCAUGGCUGGUCUGAGAGGAUGAUCAGCCACACUGGGACUGAGACACGGCCCAGACUCCUACGGGAGGCAGCAGUGGGGAAUAUUGGACAAUGGGCGAAAGCCUGAUCCAGCAAUGCCGCGUGAGUGAUGAAGGCCUUAGGGUUGUAAAGCUCUUUUACCCGGGAUGAUAAUGGCAGUACCGGGAGAAUAAGCUCCGGCUAACUCCGUG